CCUUCAUUCCGAUCCUGCAGGUCAGACCACCCCUGGGUCUGAUUCCCUGUCUGGUCCCUCCCCAGGCCCUCUGGACGACAGAGGCCACAGCAGCAGGUUAGUGACCCCAUCAGCCUCCAUCCUGCACGUCUAGGAAGGGCCGUGGGAUUCCCUCUUCUGUUCACCACAGAGCCUUCUCCUCAUGUCUCAGCCCCCAAGGCAGUCAGAAUCCUGAGUGCGGAGGCUCGGACCUCCAGCUCCAUCACCCUGAGCUGGGCAGCCCCAAGGACCCAGACCUGCAGACUUCCAUCUACUGGGUCCGAGGGGCGGGCAUAACCAGCGGGAACACAAGCACGUCAGACUGCUGGCUAGGGGUGGAGGGACUUCAGCCUGAGACCCUCUACACCUUCUCUGUGUGGGCCGAGAGGAAAGGAAUAGGUGGCCCUAGGGACGUCCUGAGCAUGUCCACAGUCCCUGGCCUGGUCACGCAGGCUCAGACCACCAGCUCCCUCACCCUGAGGCCCCUACAGGCCCAGACCCCAAGACCUGCCCCUACUGGCUCCACUGGGCCAGUGACUCCUCAGACAUCAGGGUGCCUGUGGAGGGCCUGACUGCAGGGACCAGCAUGUGAAGCAGUAGCAUGAGGUCAACAGCCCCGGCCAGAUGCUCACAGAGGCCACAGGUGAGAGGCGAGAGCACCCGGGCUUGGGGAGUAAGGCCUCUGGCUUCUGGGCUCCACUGAUAGGGUGCGUGCCUCCAUAACAAGAAGGGCUGUGGGAAGGAGGGGAUGCUUCCCUUGGCUCUGGAGGCCCGGGGACUAUGGCGUGUGGUCUGUGAAGCAGGUUCCCUGUGCACUGGUUACCAACUUACCAGAGCCCGAUGAGACAGAACGCCACACAUGCAAAAAGUUACGUGAAGUGGGUUUGUUCCUCACAGAUGGGCAGCAAGGGACAGGAUCCAUUGUGAGCUGAUCCCCCAAGGCUUAGGAAAGUGGCCUAGGCAGGAUAGGGUCACAAUUGUGUGUGUCUCACUUGUAUGGCAGUUGAGGGACUCCAAAAAGUACCCAGCCCUGGGUUUUCUACUCUGGGUGAAACCUGAGUCACUGGGCUCAAGCAUUGAAGGGCAUUCUGUCUCUAGGGUAGGCGGGAAUGGAGCCCAGGCUGCCUGGCCGGUCCCUCCAUAUCUCGGGAUGUUGCAUUCCCAGCACAUUCUACAGUUACUUUUGAGAACUACAAGAGACAACUGGGUCUGUUUAAGGCCACUCAGAGAACCUUCCUGCAGGAACCCUGACCCCCUUCCCUUCCUUUCCUUGCCCGGUCAGGUCGUGGAUCUGAGGAUACAGGCUUAGACCCGAGUUCUGUGACACUAAGGUGUAUAUCCCAUGGGCCCAGACCCCCACACCUACACCUACUGGGUCCAGUGGGCAGGGACCACAGUCCCCAGUGGGACCAGAAAUGUGGCAGAGAGGGAGUCGUGGUGGAGGCCCUGGAAUCUGGGGCUUCAUAAACCUUCAUUGUGUGGGCUGAAAGGUGCGGUGGCUCACGCCUGUAAUCCCUGCACUUUGGGAGGCCAAGGUGGGCAGAUGACCUGAGGUCAGGAGUUCAAGACCAACCUGGCCAACAUGAUGAAACCCUGUCUCUACUACAAAUACAAGAAAAUUAGCUGGAUGUGGUGGUGCAUGCCUGUAAUCCCAGCUACUCAGGAGACUGAGGCAGGAGAAUCGCUUGAACACGGGAGGUGGAAGUUGCAGUGAGCCAAGAUUGCGCCACUGCACUCCAGCCUGGGUGACCAGAGCAAAACUCCGUCUCCAAAAAUAAAUAGCCAGACAUGGUGGCUCACGGCUGUAAUCCCAGCACUUUGGGAGGCCAAGGCAGGCAGAUCACCAGGUCAGGAGUUCAAGACCAGCCUGGACAACAUGAUGCAACCCCAUCUCUACUAAAAAUACAAAAAUUAGCCGGGCAUGGUGGCACAUGACUGUAAUCUCAGCUACUCGAGAGCCUGAGGCAGGAGAAUCGCUUCAAUUCGGGAACUAGAGGUUUCAGUGAGCCUAGAUCGUGCCAUUGCACUCUAGCCUGGGUGACAAAGUGAGACUCUGUCUCAAAUAGCCUGGUGUGGUGGCUCACAUGCAAUCCAACACUUUGGGAGGCCAUGGCGGGCGGAUCACCUGAGGUAGGGAGUUGGACACCAGCCUGACCAACAUGGAGAAACCCCGUCUCUACUAAAAAUAUAUAACUAGCCGGGUGUGGUGGCACAUGCCUGUAGAAUCGCUUGAACCCAGGAGGCGGAGGUUGUGGUGAGCCGAGAUCACACCACUGCACUCCAGCCUGGGCAACAAGAGCAAAACUCCGUCUCAAAAAUAAAUUUUCUGCAUCUUAGCAGGUUCUCCUGCCUCCUCUCCAGUUUGUACCCGCCUUCCCCAAGAGUGGCCAGUCUCCUGAUCUUUAUCACCGUAAAUUAGUGUAGUCUGUCCUUGAACCUUCUCUAAGGGGAAUUAUACAGUAUAUAGUUAUUUGAUCCUGGCUUUCUUCACUCAACACUGUGGAUGAAGUGUGGGUCCAUGCUGUGUGUUUUUAUUUUUAUUGCUGUGUAGUAUUUAUCAUAUGAAUGUAUUGCAAUUUAUUGUUUCAUCCCUCUCUUCAUGAACAUUUUGUAUUUCUAGUUUUGGGCUCCUAUAAAUAAAGCUACCAUGAACAUUUCUGUCCAUGUCUUUUGGAGCACACAGAAAGUUCUUUCUCUCAGGUGUCUGCCUAGCAGUGGAAUUGCUCAGUGAUGAUAUAUGUACCUUUAGCUUUCAUGGUUACUGACCAACCAUUUCUCAAAGCAGCUUCCCAGGUUACCAUCCUGCCAGCAAUGUGAGGAAGCUUCAUUUGCCCCAUAUACUUGCAAAUAGUUGGUUGUUCGUCUUUUCCAUUUUAGUUAUGCUGCUGCAGUGUUUUGAUACUUCCUUGUGGUUUAAUUUCCAUAAUGACUAAUGAAGUUGAACACCUUCCCAUUUGUGUGCGUGUGUGUGUGUGUGUGGCCAUUUGGAUAUCCUUCUUGGUAAAAUGUCUCUUCAAGUCCAUUGCCCAUUAAAUGGGUCUUCUGCCUCCCUUAAUUUGUAGGAAGCCUUUGAAAAUAUAAAGGGUACAGCUCUUUUGUCAGAUGUUUGUGUCACUAAAGCGUCAUCAUGGCCUAGUUUUUUUUUUUUUGAGAUGGAGUCUCGCUCUGUCACCAGGCUGGGGUGCAGUGGCGCCAUCUUGGCUCACUGCAAGCUCCGCCUCCUGGGUUUACACCAUUCUCCUGCCUCAGCCUCCCCAGCAGCUGGGACUACAGGUGCCCACCACCAUACCGGCUAAUUUUUUGUAUUUUUAGUGAGGCGGGGGUUUCACGGUAUUAGCCAGGAUGGUCUCGAUCUUCUGACCUUGUGAUCUGCCCACCUCGGCCUCCCAAAGUGCUGGGAUUACAGGCAUGAGCCACCACACCCAGCAAUGGCCUAGUUUUAACUCAGGGCUCUGCUAAAUCGCGUGGGAUCACAGGUGUGGAAGGGUUUGCUUUCCGAGAGGACUGCAGAGAUUUCCGCCACUCCCUGCUCCAGCCUUCCUUUCUCUCACAGAAACAAAUGUAGGGAGUCUGUUCUCCUGCGGAGUCCAGGGUUGCUGGAGAACUGAGAAGGGCUGUGCCAUGGUUUCUUCUCAGCACCAGGAGACUGGGUUUUCCCUGAGAAUGACAGACUUGUCAGGUGCGCCCCUCACAAACGUGUAUUCAGCACCGAGGACAGCGAUCCCAGGAGCCGCCAGAGCCUAGAGGCCCAGAAAUGGCUGCAAAUGGGCGGAACCAGGCUCUCUGUCCACCUCUUCCUCCGUGAUCUGGGGUUGAGCGUUCCUUGCUUUCUGCUGUGGUUUCACCCUCAGCUUCGACUUUAACAAUAGCAUAAGAUGAUCGGUAAAUACCUAAAAUGGAGACCUGAUCAAGGAAGGGAGAGGUGGGGACACGUGUGUGUGAGUUCUGGGAAGCCUUUAGGACAACUUCACCCCUCACCUGGGUACCCUGAUGAGCAUGGUCGGGAGGAGCCCCACGGUCUGCCUUCCUUCACUUCCUUAUUCCAGGACACUGGCAAAAAUGAUGUGGUCCAGUGUGCCCCGCAGUAGCUGGCCUCUGUUGGAUGUUUCUUGCCUGUGAGAUGACUAAGAGCUGUGGCUCCUGGUCUUUCUACCUCCUCAGUUCUGACCAGGAACACAGAAAGGUCUCUAGCACCCUUGGAUCCUGGAAGGGGAAAAGGCAGGAACUCCACAGUCCUUUCCCCUGAGCUACCAAAGCAUUCUUCCCCUGCCCCAAGCCAGCGUCAUUUGGGGAAUGGAGCUGAGAAAACUUACUCUGGGUGUGGAAGAAGGAAUUAACCAAACCCAGUGCUCCCUGGGUUCUGAGCAGUGGGGUGGGAUUGUGCCAUAGUUUUGAAUUAAGACUUUGAAAGCACUUUGGGGCCAGGCGUGGUGGCUCAUGCCGGUAAUCCAACACUUUGGGAGGCUGAGGCGGGAGGACCACGAGGUCAGGAGAUUGAGACCAUCCUGGCUAACACGGUGAAACCCGUUUCUACUAAAACACAAAAAUCAAAAAAUUAGCGGGCCUGGUGGAGGGGCCUGUAGUUCCAGCUACUUGGGAGGCUGAGGCGGGAGAGCAGUGAACCUGGGAGGUGGAGCUUGCAGUGAGCUGAGAUGGCACCACUGCACUCCAGCCUGGGUGACAGAGCGAGACCCCAUCUCGAAGAAAAAAAAAAAAACCAAACCAAAAAAAAAAAACCCUUUGGGAG
ensembl:lncRNA